CGUGCAAGGUGGGAAUUGAACCUGCAAUCUUAUGAUCAUGGGUUGACCGCCCUACCGCUGCACCAUGGCCGCCCCAGGUGGCUAAUAGUUAUGUAGCAUUUACAUUAUCUAUGCUUGUGUACAUAAUGAGCUGUAUUUCAUUUAAAGACACUUCUAAGCCUUUUUCAGCCUUUUGGACCCCUCCUACACAAUUCCUAGUAGGAAGGCCUUGAGGACAAUGGUUGGUGGAGGAAAAGUACAAUGCCAAAAAGGAGAAGGCCUUAGCUGUGCUUAGCAGGGCCUCUGCUGUCAGCCUAACAGCAGCCAUGUGGACAUCCAUUCGCAUGGAUGCCUACUGGGCUGGAACAUGACAUUUUAUCACUGAGGAGGUGAAGCUGGCCUGUGUGGUCCUGGGGGGUUCAGAAGUUUCCCCAAAAAUCUCCUCAUGGAAGAAUGGGGAAUUAAAGGGAAGGUGUGAGAUCAAUACAAGUCCAGAUUAUUCAUCAAUAUGGCCUCCCACUACCUAAUACACAUGAUUUGUGAACAUGUUGGAAUCUUUCUUCCAGGUGACAGGCCUGGUUACAGACUGUGCUCCCAACAUGGUUGCGUGUGCACUUCUUCUUCAGCAUGUAAUGUGUUUUGCACAUAUUUUUAAUUUGAUGGUGAAAAGGUCCCUUGCCCAAACCCCCUGAGCUGGAGGACACCCGAAGUAGGGGCCGUAGGAUCGUUGGUCUUUUUAAAUCCAGCACCACAGCCAAGGAGAAGCUGUCAGAGAUGCAGAAACAGCUGGCCAGGCCAGAGCAUAAAUUAAUUCAAGAGGUGGAAACAAGAUGGAACAGCACAUUCAGUAUGUUGGAAACGCUGUUGAAGGAGAGAGAGCCACUGAGGGCAGCUCUGGCCACCCUCCAUACGGACCUCCCUCCAUUCACCUCAGAGGACUACCAUGUCCACUGCUUGAGCGUUCUUUUGCCAUUUCAACUGGCCACGGCUGAGCUUUCUGCAGAAAAAUGGGUGUCGGCCUCCAAAGUCAUUCUAAUAAUUAAAAUGCUGAAACAUUACAUCUCAAGCCGAUGUGGACAGAUUACACGCCCACUGGGGGAGAAACUGGCCACUAACCGGAUGAAUUAUCUAUGUGAGAGGUUUUCAGCUCUGGAGAAGGUCACAGCUCUGUCAAUGGCAACCUUAUUGGAGCCAAGAUUUAAAGAGCUGGCUUACCAUCCUCAUCCUCAUUUACAGUGGUGGACAAAAUUGUUGGUACCCCUCAGUUAUAGAAAGAAAGUCCACAAUGCUCACUGAAAUGACUUGAAAUGUUCAAAAGUGACAAUAAAUUAAAAUUUAUUGAAAAUGUAA